CUCUCACCCUGCAAAGACCAAGGGAACAGCACAAACUGCUGUGAGCAGGGCACGUGCAGUUUCAGACAUGUUUCAACAUCAGCUUGAAAACUCCAUGAAAAUCUCUCUUGUGAUUCAGAAUGGAUUUGCCUUUGAGAGAAUCAUCAUUUAUGUAUGAGACAGCAGUUUGGGAUUAUUGGUAGCUACAGAAUAGAGACUGUCAUUGGAGUAGGAAUGAAAUCAAAGAGACUCGCAAGAUGCUGUUCUCACAACAGUUCCAAAAUCUUCCAAAAAUGAUACGAAGUUAGGCGUAAUAUCCAGAUAUGGAAUCCCUGAUGGAAUUGCAGACACAGGGAACUAACAUGUCCAGUUCCUUCCAACGAGUCCAUGACAACGCCUCAAAAUACAACAACUCGUUGACAUCGAUAAUCAGCUGGAAGAAUGGAGACUUUGGUAUGCUUGCCAGUCACAUCUACUGUGGCUGCCUGUGCAGGGAAAAGAAGAAAGUGAGCAGAGAAUGGAAUAAUUUUAGAUAAUGUCAGCGUUCUGCAACGGUGGCCUGUGUAUGGCCAUGAGAGAGCCCAGAAGCAGUGAGUGAUUCAGAAAAGGAAGUGAGAAGGCAUCAAAAGUGUAUUUAUUGUGCUUUACAUGAAGGCCUUUUUCUGCUGAAAUAGAGCCACAUGCCACUAUCAGAUCUGACACCUCAACAAUAGAUUUCUAAUAUUUGUUCUGGGCCUUGAUGGAUUCAACAUUUUAAAAUAAUUAAAAUGUAAUAAUAUUACUGUAUAUACUAAAUCAUAACAAUGCUGAUGAUCAUGUUUAUAAGUUGAUUCCAAAACUCUUGGAUCUUGCUAUGGCCCAGAGUCACUAUUUUGAAAUCCAUAAAAAUAUCAUCAUGAUACAUGUCUUUUAGUUGUUUGGAGAUACUCACAUCUGCACCACAGAAGGACAGUGAAGCAAUGACGGUGUGUAUUGUGCUGGAGAGGGUACCCUGGACGCUGAGGCUGGGCACGUCGGCAGGCUUUCCCACAGCCUCUUUGCAGAAGGAAAGUCCAGGGACUCCAUGGAUGGAUGCUCUACAAGUUUCCUAUUGCUUCUGUAACAAAUUACUACAAAUGCAGCGGUUUAAAACAACGAAUUUAUAAUCCUUCAGCUCUGUAAGUUAGAAGUCUGACACGGCCUCACUGAGUUAACAUCAAGAUGUUGGCAAGGCCGCUUUCUUUGCUGGAAGCUCUGGAGGAGAAUCCAUUUCCUCACCUUUCCAGCUCCUAGAGGUGCCCCCAUUCCUUAGCUUGUGGCUUCCUUUCACGGUCUUCAAAGAUUACAGCAUUGCCUCUCUCCAACUCCUGACCUGUCUUCUCUGACAAUGACUGAGAUAUGUUCUCAGCUUUUAAGGACACAUGUGAUCAGAUUGGGCCCACCUGGAAAAUCUCCCCCUUCUCAGGGCAGUUAAUAUCCUAUCUGCAAAAAUUUUUUUGCUGAGUAAUUAUAUUGAUAGUUUCCCAGACUAGGAUAUUAGCAUCCUGGGGGCCAUUAUUCUGCCUGCCACCGUUGGUUUAACUUGGAAAGAUUUUGAUUAGCACUGCCACAGUCGCUGCACGCAGAGCCCCAGGAAGGGGACUGCACUAGAGCCCGGCGGGGCCUCCUCCUCAGAGCGGCUCAGAGGUUACCUCUCCCGCGGCAACCUCAGUGACAGCUAGCUCAGAAACAAUUAAAACUCACCUGUGGUCUCCAGAUGUGAGCAAAUUGUGUAGCACAGGGAGGAAUGCAAAUGAACAAAUGCUUUGAUGCUUUAACAUGAAAAUUUUCCAAAACAAAUUUAAAACAUUUCUGAUUUGGAGUGGGGCAUUGUCAAACAAGCCAUCAAUUUAACUAGACAAAUCCCAGAACUGGAAUGAGACAUCACCUUUACUAUCCAAUGCCAUAAUCCCCGCUGCAAUAUUUCUGACCAAUAAAUGAUAUGUAAGCAGAGCAUUUGAAUUUUGUACAGUUAUAAUUGUUUGAAGGUUCUCCCCACCACUGUGCUGAUAUUGGCCCGUCUGUUGUGUUCACAUGUGGCUUUCAGUUCUCCGUUUUGGAACCAUACAAGUAAAAAAUCUAAUUCACCUCCUCACUGCUGACUGGUUUUUGAGGGACCAUAUAGAGCCAUUCGAGGCCACUGUAUAGAUUAAAGGAACUGAUAAAGUUUCCUAUUUUACAAUUUUAGUCAAGAAAACAAAACAAAAUUUAGCUUAUGCAUCAAGAAAUCACUUAUAAGAACAGUUAAGAGACAUAUAAUGUAAUAGAUGUAUUAAAUUGUUUUUAAGCUAUGCUAUAAUACCCUUUUUCAGAUUUGUUACAAGAGAAAAAAAGUACCACCAUGGACUUCCAGCCAGAUAGUUUAAACUGGAUACUUGCCUCCAAAAUAUUAAAAAUCACCUCAGUCCUUAAUACUAGGAUUAGGAAAACAAUCUUUCAUUUUCUUUAUGAAAUAUAUAGUUUGAAAUUACACUUUCAUGCUAUUUUUUUAAAUUCACUUUUAAAGUCAUCUAAAUAACAUUGCCCAUGCUGUCUCUUAAGAGAGUUGUAACAACAAAAAAGAAAAAAUUUGAAGGUUGAAAUUCUAAAGGAAGGAAGAGAUAAGGGUUAGCUAUUUGCAGGCAGCUGAUAAACAGAUGUUUCCGUAUUCGGGGGUAUUGUUCUUGAAAAGCAAUUCUAUAAUGAGUUUUUUAGUUUAUCUCUCAUCUUUUGUUCAUGAUUUUUCUUCCUCUAUUUCAAAAAAA